GAUGAAGAACGUAGCGAAAUGCGAUAAGUAAUGUGAAUUGCAGACUUCAGUGAAUCAUCGAAUCUUUGAACGCACAUUGCGCCCCCUGGUAUUCCGGGGGGCAUGCCUGUCCGAGCGUCAUUACAACCCUCAAGCUCAGCUUGGUGUUGGGCCCCGCCGCCCCGGCGGGCCCUAAAGUCAGUGGCGGUGCCGUCCGGCUCCGAGCGUAGUAAUUCUUCUCGCUCUGGAGGUCCGGUCGUGUGCUCGCCAGCAACCCCCAAUUUUUUUCAGGUUGACCUCGGAUCAGGUAGGGAUACCCGCUGAACUCAAGCAUAUCAAUAAGCGGAGGA
rnacentral:misc_RNA from 1 species